UGGGGAAUAUUGGGCAAUGGGCGAAAGCCUGACCCAGCGACGCCGCGUGAGGGAAGAAGGUCUUCGGAUUGUAAACCUUUGUCAACAGGGACGAAACAAAUGACGGUACCUGUGGAGGAAGCCACGGCUAACUACGUGCCAGCAGCCGCGGUAAUACGUAGGUGGCGAGCGUUAUCCGGAUUUACUGGGUGUAAAGGGUGUGUAGGCGGAGAGGCAAGUCAGAUGUGAAAUCUAUGGGCUCAACCCAUAGCUUGCAUUUGAAACUGCUUCCCUUGAGCGUGGGAGAGGUGAAUGGAAUUCCUGGUGUAGCGGUGAAAUGCGUAGAUAUCAGGAGGAACACCGGUGGCGAAGGCGAUUCACUGGCCCAUGACUGACGCUGAGACACGAAAGCGUGGGGAGCAAACAGG
rnacentral:rRNA from 2 species